GCGUUAUCCGGAAUGAUUGGGCGUAAAGCGUCCGCAGGUGGCUUUGUAAGUCUGCUGUUAAAGAGUGAGGCUCAACCUCAUAAAAGCAGUGGAAACUACAUAGCUUGAGUACGUUCGGGGCAGAGGGAAUUCCUGGUGUAGCGGUGAAAUGCGUAGAGAUCAGGAAGAACACCGGUGGCGAAAGCGCUCUGCUAGGCCGUAACUGACACUGAGGGACGAAAGCUAG
rnacentral:rRNA from 1 species